UACGGGGGGGGACAAGCGUUGUUCGGAAUUACUGGGCGUAAAGGGCUCGUAGGUGGCCAACUAAGUCAGACGUGAAAUCCCUCGGCUUAACCGGGGAACUGCGUCUGAUACUGGAUGGCUUGAGUUCGGGAGAGGGAUGCGGAAUUCCAGGUGUAGCGGUGAAAUGCGUAGAUAUCUGGAGGAACACCGGUGGCGAAGGCGGCAUCCUGGACCGACACUGACACUGAGGAGCGAAAGCCAGGGGAGCAAACGGG
rnacentral:rRNA from 1 species